rnacentral:tRNA from 1 species
GCGGAUGUGGCGUAAUUGGUAGCCGCGCUAGACUUAGGAUCUAGUCCCGAGAGGGGUGGGAGUUCGAGUCUCCCCAUCCGCACCA